UCGGUUUCCAUGUGCUGGAUGGUGUGCGUCCUUUAUGAAAGCUACUGAGCCAAGGAGCUGGGAGGAUGCUCGGAGUUACUGCAGAAAGAAGGACUCUGACCUGGCCACUCCCGGGAGUGUGGAGGAGAUGAGCAGACUUCAACAGAGCGUCGAGCCCAAGUACCGUGGCGAUGUCUGGAUUGGCCUGAAGGGGGCAGCCAAUCCAAGUCCUUGGUGGUUCCUGUGCUAUGUUGAGAAUAGUUCUCCCAAGUAUGUGAUGAUCAGGGAAACAAAGACAUGGAUUGCUGCUCAAAGCUACUGCAGGGAGCACUACGUGGAUCUGGCGAGCAUUGAAAGUCAAGAAGAUGAGGAGCUGGUCUGGAAUGUUACUGAAGGACGCCCUGUUUGGAUUGGCCUCUUCAAGGACUCCUGGGAGUGGGUAGGGCAAAGGAGAUCAUCGUUCCGGUACUGGGCAGCAGAGACCGAUGUCCGGUACUGGUCAAGACUGUGCAGCGGUGCGGACAACUGAAGGUGGACGGUGGUAUAGACGCCUGUGCAGUGUGACAAAUCCUUUUGUCUGCCAGUAUUGAAUAAUUGAAGGAACAAAGACUUCCAGAGACUUCCAGAUGAUGCUCAUCUACAAUGGCGGGAGAAUGAAGAUGGCAUUUUUAAGAAGGUGGAGAGAAAGAUGAGAGUAGCUGAUGAGCUGUAAGGCUUCACCUGCUCUCAGCCACAAAGCCUGGUGAUCCUCCUUACAACACGGAAAAGCUUGAAAGAGAAAUGCCUCUGGUCAUCAGCAACAUACAUACAACACGUGAUUAUCUUUUCCGCAGGUUGAUUUCAAUUGUGGUGUGGACAUACUGUAAUGUAGUUUAAGGUAUUGCAUAUUUUUGCUCCUACAUAUGAAAUACAAUUACAGGUGUGAGGAGAAAAUGAAUGGGUACGUAUUGCAGAGGUAUUGUUUAAUCAUUAGAAUCGUGUCAGUUAAAGCCUAUGUUAAACACGUUUAAAAAUACUUCUCAGAAACUAAUCAACUUACUUUAAUGUCUAACAAGAGGGUUUUGCUCCAGAUCACUGAAAGUCAUUAAUUAUGGCUGUAGAACCUUAGCAGUAGUGACUCUGAGGCUCUGAGAAUAAAGGUUAGGACAGAGCUAAGAGAAAAGUAAUAGUCUGAAUCUGAAUGAUGUGGGCAGUCCUAAUAAUUUUGCAAUCUAGCUUGGAUUACUCACAUGCAAAUAAUCUUCUCCUGUGUCAAUACGUGACUAAAACUAUGUGUUUGUCCAAGCGUAAAUAGAUAUACAUUUAUUCUUAUUAUUGCAUAGUUCUGAUGCAUAUGUUUGUGUGUCACAGCUGAUGUGUAUGUGUUUUUUUGAGUGUCUGUAAUACAGUAACGUCUGAAAAUAAAAACAAUGGAAAU